rnacentral:misc_RNA from 1 species
AACUCUCAACCACACAAGUUGUGUGAACGACUUGGAGUGGCUUGGAUUUGGGAUUUCUUUGCUGGCUUUUCAAGUCGGCUGUCCUGAAAUACAUUAGCAAGGCUUCAGUUGCCAAUACUAUUGGUGUGAUAUGCAUCUACGCCAUUGGAAAGGCUUCACGGCUUAGCUUCUAACCGUCUUUUGACAAGAUUGACA